UUUUUUUUUUUUUGUUUCUAGAAGGAGCUUUGUCGAAGUUGUUCUUUGUCCUUGUUAUUUCUAUUGCAGCUGGAGCAGUGCCCUCGAUCAAGCGUGUGGAGGGUUCUGCCCUAUAGGGGUGGUUUUUUUUCUACGGGUGUAGUUUGAUAUUCCGUUUAAGGGUUUUGUCUAAUCCUUUGGAAGAAAAGGAGGUUGUGGUUAUGAGGAAAGGGCUCCAGCAAGGCGGUGUAUGUGUCUGUUAGGAGGUGUUGUAGCAGGGAGUUAUGAGCACUUUAUCAUGUGUAUUGGUUGCUAGUAUGGGUGCAGGUGUGAGGGGCAAGAGUUCUUUCGGUGGUGCGAGGAUCCUUCACGGUCACAUCUUAUGUGAAAUGCGUUUAAUCCUCGGUUGGAUGGUGGAUAAAGAGAUGAGUUCCUGUUGUUUUUUUUGUGAAUGGUUGCUGGUUUUUAUGAACAUAGUUGUUGUUGCAGCUUUUAAUUGUUAAUUCUGUUGUAGGAGUGUCACAGAGGCAUAGUAGGUUGUCUACUAUGUUACAUUGUCUCUAGUCUUUUGUAUACGGAUUGGGUCAUCCCUGAAGUGUCCCCUUUUAUUCAUUCAUUAUUACUGAUACAAAAAAAAAACAAUACUUCAAUUUCAUUUUAAUCAUAUUGAUUACACAUGGAUCCAUCGUCUUCAAGAAGGCUCAUUAAGUAUGUUCCUACCAAAUACCAACAUCUGAUCCAAUAUCCAAUACUUAUAUUUACACACAAAUCUAAGAGAAGGAUUAGGGUAAGUCCAAAACUAUGUGACUAUAAGUGAUCAUGGUGCGUAUGAACUCCCUCAUCAACUGAUACUUUGGUUUAUGUGACUUAGAUCAUCAAUUAAUCUAGAGGAUCUAUGUUAACCUUAGGUUUUCAUACUUAAUGUACCAAUACACAAUACCUUGUACAUUAUCCCAAAAUGUAUGACAUUAAAUUCAUACAAGUUUUCAUCAUUCGCAUAUAACACAUAUCAAUCACACACAAUGCAUAUCAAUCACUACAUUAUUUAAGAUUUCUCAAAUAAAUUACAUAUACAUCUUUUAUUGAUGACAUUAAUCCAUAUAAUUUAGAAAAUGCACAAUUCAAUUGGACAUACAUAUUUACUUUUCAUUUUAGUAACGGUUAUAUUUUCUUUUUAAUAUUCAAAUAUUGACAUUAGAAAGUUGUAAUCAAUUACAAUUUUUAAAUUAAUAAAUUUGGCUGAACGAAUUGGAGACAGAAAACACCAAAAACUGCAGUUCAAAUCCACUUAACACCUGAAAUUUGGAUAAGCGGAUUUGAGGCCGAAAACAUCCUAAAAUUAAAGCUCAAAUUCACUUAGCGCAUAAAAAAAUUGCUUAGUAGAUUUGAGAUAUACAACUCAAUCUGCUUAGACUUGUGUUAAAUGUAUUUAACAAAUUUGACAAACUAAAAUCCCAAUUUGUACAUGAAAUAUAACAUUUUCAACCAUUCAAAACUAUUUAUUUGUAGUUAUAUUUUAAAACUAGUUCAAUCAACAUACAAGUAGUUUCUCUUAACUGAAAAAUUUAUCUUCAAAGCAAUCAUCUCAAGUCUAAGUCUGAAAUAUUAUAUCAAACUAUGGGGACCUAGAAAGUUAUUCAAAUAUAACCAAAUUUUAAUGUAUGGAAGUUGAGAGAAUUAUUUUUCGCAAUUAACCUCAUUAAGAUUGAUGACAAAAUUAUAGACAAAUAGAAAACCAUGAAUAUUUCAAUAAAAAAAUGAACUUACUUACUUUGAAAAUUUCAUUGGAUGAAAGUAAUCUCUAACUUAUCAAUAUACAAGUAACUGAAAAAUUUAUCUCCAAAGCAAUCAUCCCAAGUCUAAGUCUGAAAUAUUAUAUCAAACUAUGGGGACCUAAAAAGUUAUUCAAAUAUAACCAAAUUUUAAUGUAUGGAAGUUGAGAGAAUUAUUUUUCGCAAUUAACCUCAUUAAGAUUGAUGACAAAAUUAUAGACAAAUAGAAAACCAUGAAUAUUUCAAUAAAAAAUGAACUUACUUACUUUCAAAAUUUCAUUGGAUGAAAGUAAUCUCUAACUUAAAAAAAAUAAAACUUAAAAAAAAUAAUAAAAAAAAGAGAAAGAAAAUGAGAAAGAUACUAUAGAAGAAACUACUGUAUUAUUUUUUACGAGAAUUUACAAUCCUUAUUAAUUGACUUAGAUAUAUUAUUUAUUGUUAUUUAAAAAUGUCAAUUCGGUAUAUAUAAAAAAAUGUAUAUUCUUAUAGAAUAAUUGUGGAUUAAUUAUAUAUAUGAGCUGUUGAAGAGUAUUAAAAAAACAAAAAAGUUAUAUCAGUUUUUCAUGUAAUAUUUUUAAUUACAUUUUUUUUAUUUAAACUUAUUUUUUCUAUUGUUAUCCAGCACAAUAUCUCACAUGCUCUCUUCCUAGGAUCAGCAUAGCCUCAUCUAAUAUGCUAGUUCAACUCAACUUGAAGCUGAUUUUAACAGGACUGAGACAGUAUUUAAAUGUAUUUUAGAUACUUCUAAUUUAAAAUAUUUGUAAGACUGUCUUGAAUAUAUAAGUUUUUUUUACAUAAUUGUGUGUUAAUAAUUUAAAUUUAUUUAUUAAAACGUAUUUUAUAUAACAUAACAAUAAAAUUAUAAUAAAAUUAUCAAUUUUAAAUAUUUAUUAUCAAAUAUGAAAUAAAUUAAAAUUUUAUAUUUCUUAUUAAAUUUUUUAUAUUAUAUUAUAAAAUUAAAUUAAAUGAAUUUCAUCUCAUUUAUUUUAAGUAAUUUAAGAUGCAGCACGAAAUUUUUGUUCGGCUGAAUAAGAAAACUCUCCAUAUCCCAUCUACCGAUAUUUUUAUUCGGUCAUCUCGUUUCCUAUUUUUCAGUAAGUAUAUAACUCUAGUUUCUCGUGAUAUUUCAUGAGAAAUUCCUCACUUCUUGUCAUAAGAUCUUUUAUGUGAAAUUAUAUUUCUUUACGUUGUUUGAAAUUUAAAUAGACUAAAACUAAUCAAUAGUUUAAGAGAAAAUUUAAAAAAUAUAAUUAAAUGAAUGAACAAUAUAUCCUAAAGUGUAAUGAAUCAAUUUUUAUUAGUAAAUGAGUUUUUUUGUUUCUAAAACAUUUAAUUUUUUUAAAUGAAUCUAAAUAGACUAAGAGUUAUAUAUGAUUUGCUUUUAAAAAAAAUCAAAGAAUAUAUAAAUAAUAUUUUUAAAUAAAUAACAAUAAGUUGAAAUAAUUAUAAGUUUGUAUAUAUUUAUUUUGUAUCCAAUUUAAAAUGUUAUAUAUUAUUCAUAUUUAUUUAUAUCUUAAUUUAAUUUAAGUAUUUUUCAUUAACAUUGAAACAAAUUUGAACUCAUUAAUUUAUUCAUCAUCUCAAAUUUUAAGUUCAAAUAUAAAUUAAAAUCAUUUAACAUGUGUUAAAUGAAAAAAUAUGGUUGAAUUGAAUAUUUGUUUGAAUUGGAUUUAGAAAAGGGAAUGAUGUUGACUUAAAUACUACUUGAUUGAGGGGUUUUUUUUUUUUGUGUGGUAUAGGUUUUAAUGUUAUUUCAUUGUCAUAACGGUAAUUAUGAAACUUAAACUAACUAAUUGAAAUCACAGUUGACCACGAUAUUCUAAUAGAAUAUAAAAUAAAUUAUAUAUAGCUAAUUUGAUAGACUAGAAUAAAUUUUUAACUUGUCAAACUAAAUAUUCAAUCUAAACACUAAUAAUUAAAAGUAAUUCAUAACAUUUUUUAAUUCUUAGAAAUAAUGUCAAUAUUUUGAUCUUGACCUUUUAAGAUAAUACUUUUAUAGUUAAGUGUAAAAUAUUAUUCAUUUUAAAACCUAGAUGGUUUUAUUAUUAAAAGAUAUUUUAAGAGUUUUAUGACUUAAAUAUAGUAUAACAUUAAUAAUAUUUAAUUAUAAAAAUAUUAAUUAUUAAUUAAUUUAAUGUAUAUAUGUUAAAUACGUGGAAGAAGAGAAAAUAAUGAUAAUUUUCUAUUGAGAGAGACGAAGAACCGCAAAGAGUUAUAGAAGUUGUCAAGACAUGUUAGCUCUUAUAUGAAUGGACCGCACAUUUUGUCUUACAAUAAAGAGAACUUGGGAAAGUUCGAGAAGUCAAUUGCAGGCCCUGUCCAGAAAAUACCUUCCCCGGUUAUGCAAUUUCUAUAAAAUCAUCGAUAAGAGUGUAAAAAUCAUGUGUCUAGCAGUUUGGGGUGUUUGUAUUAUAAGCACAAAUCAUUAAGAUACAAAACUUUACCAAAUAAGAAUAUAGUGUUACUAAAAAUAGAAAAAAAAAUAUUAAUUAUGACCUUCAGAAUAUCAUGUUGCCCUUUACUAAUUACACAUUAAAUAAAUUAUGCAAUGAAAAUAUGUUAAGUUUUCUAACCUUCUCCAUAAUUUUACUGCUAACUGCAAACUGUGUCUAUAGACUAACAAUUUUGUAUUUCUGAUUCAACUUGUUUUUUAACACAAUUUCUGCUUUAACUUGAUAGGGUGUUUAUAAAUUUACUUUAUAUUGAUAUUAAAAAUUUAAAUAAGUUUACAGGAUAAUUUGUGACCUAAUAGGUUUAUCGUUUAAAAGACUAAUAAAUAAAUUUGAAGUUAACAUACCAAUGACACUAAAAAUAAUUAAAAUCAUAAAAAUAUAUUGUACUUUAUGGUCAUUAAUUAAUAAAAAACUAAUGUUUCAACUGUUUAGAUAAUAAUAUGAAAUAAUAUU
rnacentral:lncRNA from 1 species